UUCUAGUUCUCGUCGUGAUCUGUUACUGCAUCUCCCGAAGGAAAAGGUCAAGUGGUCAGUCGAGCGGUUAUGGUGAUCAAACUGGAAGAGAGAUGAGAGCCGAGCCUUGUCCUUCACACAAAGGUCAGAUGAGCAGUUAUGAUGAUGAAAAUGGAGGGAAGCUGAGACUUCACUCUGAUAGAGGAGAGAUGUCCAGUCCUGAAAGUAAAAGAGGAGCACGCUAUAAUAAGAACGGAUCAUCUCCACGCGCAGAUAUCUCCGUAUCUCCGAGAUGCGAACAGCUUGUGUUUUGUAGGUCCUGAUUAGAAAUUA